CCUUUCCUCCCCUUCCACCUUUUCAUUUGAAAGAGGCAAAAGCAAGAAUUCUCACUAUGUUCAUUACAGAACACAGUCAUACUCUAACAAGACACUGCUGCCAGGAACCUCUUGCUGUAACUAGAAAAAAAGCCCAAAACAUCCUGUUAAAAUGCUAAAAAUAUAUUUUAAAAGGAACGGGCAUAUGAAUGAGACGACUGAUUAAUGAAGAUUAUGAAUAGUUCGAGAAUGGGCAUACAGGAACUGCGGAAAGAAAAAACAGCUCUUAAUUCUGUGAAUCACGACUUUUGGAUGGGAAGGCUGAGCACAAGAACAGGAAACCCAUCAGAGUAACUGCAGUGAGACUGAAACACGACAGAAAAAUGAAAUUUACAUUAUUUUCUCUCCUAGGUCGCCCAUUAAUCCGAAAAAACCAACUCCUUGGGAAGAAGGAACGUCCCUCACUCGCACGACACGGAGGGAUCCGAGCACGCUGCGAGCCUUUAAACACGACACGGCAGCAAACGCAGAAAGGUGAGCGAAGUAUCAACAGGUCUCCCGGGGGAUCCGCGGGGGGCCCUUUGCUGGGAGCCGAAUCGGUUGAGGAGCGGCGGGGACACCGACAGCUCCCUCAGGGGCCCGGGGGGCAAAGGGGCGAGCGCGGCCGGCCCGGGGAUGGGGACGGGAGGCUGGAAGGGGAAGCUCGGCGGGCUCCGGCAGGAGGGAGGGCGGAGGAGCUGGAGGUCCAACGGGCCCACCGGCCGAGGGGCCUCAGGGAGCGGCCCGGAGCCCCGGCCCCGGAGCGGGCGGGGCGGCCUAACCCGGGCCGGGCCAGGCUUUGGGGCCUGAGCCGCCCGGGGGUCGGUACCUGGACGGGUUCCUGCAGCACCGUCAUCCUGCUCUCCCCGGCCUCCGCCUCCUGGUCGCCGAGCCCGAGCGGGGUGGCCCCGGUCCCGGCCCGGCUCAGAGCGAGUCACGGCGGGGCCCGGCCCGGCCGCGGCUCAUUUGAACCCGCACCGACCGUUACCGGAGCGAGCGAGGCCGGCGGGCGCCGAGUCCGCCCGAACCGGCGGCGGAAAUACCCGAACCGUCCGCCGGAAAUACCCGAAGGCGCAGGCGGAAAGAGCCGAGCGUCGACGGAAAACAGCUGGGAAAGCCGCGCUCGGCAGCCGGGAGGAAACUACUCGGCGCCGGAGAUGGCCGAGGCGAGACGGAGAUGGCCGAGGCGAGACGGAGAUGGCCGAGCUGGAGCGGAGAUGAUCGAGCGAGAACGGAGAUGAUCGAGCGUGAGGUGAAGCCCGGCAGGGCCUGUGGCUCGUCCCUCAGAGCACCCAUGGAAUGUAGAACUUGCACUUGGUGCCACAGAACGAGCUCUGGGGAUCCCCAGGUUCAGCCAGGAUGUCAGAAAAUCGCAGGAUCAUGUGGGUUGAGAAAGACCUCCCAAACCAUCGAGUCCAGCCUGUGACCGAUCGCCGCCUUGUCAAUAGGCCAGAGCACUGAGUGCCACGUCCAGUCGUUCCUUGGACACCUCCCUGGGCAGCCCCUUCCAAUGUUUAACAACCCAUUCUGUGAAGAAAUUCCUUGUGAUGUCCUCAUAUCCAGGAGUAAAACUGGCAGACCGGGGUAUAAGUACAAGGCAGAUAAUUUGCCAGUUACAACUUGGAUGUGUUUGAAAGCGCAAUAUCUGACACACAGAGCUUUAGCAAAAGAACGGAAUAAAGAUGUACAAAUUAACCUCAAUUUAUUAAAUAUACUGACCUAUCAAUAGCCGCCUGCAGCAAG